UGGGGAAUAUUGCACAAUGGGCGAAAGCCUGAUGCAGCGACGCCGCGUGAGGGAUGACGGCCUUCGGGUUGUAAACCUCUUUCAGCAGGGACGAAGCGCAAGUGUUCUUUCCUCCAGAAGAAACGCAGGGCUAACUUACGUGC
rnacentral:rRNA from 1 species